CGCGGGGUGGAGCAGUCUGGUAGCGCGUCGGGCUCAUAACCCGAAGGUCGCAGGUUCGAAUCCUGCCCCCGCUACCA
rnacentral:tRNA from 1 species